rnacentral:siRNA from 1 species
GAUCUUAAAAGCCUAAGUAGC